rnacentral:rRNA from 1 species
UACGUAGGAUGCAAGCGUUGUCCGGAAUUAUUGGGCGUAAAGAGUUCGUAGGCGGUUGCCUAAGUCUGGUGUUAAAUACAGGAGCUCAACUUCUGCAUGGCACUGGAAACUGGGCGGCUAGAGUGUGGUAGAGGUCACGGGAAUUCCAGGUGUAGCGGUGAAAUGCGUAGAGAUAUGGAGGAACACCAGUGGCGAAGGCGGCUUCCUGGUCUGUAACUGACACUGAGGCGCGAAAGCGUGGGGAGCAAACAGG